GACGAACCGCCCAAACGUUAUUCGGAAUCACUGGGCUUAAAGGGUGCGUAGGCGGCGGCGUCAGUCGGGUGUGAAAUCCCACAGCUCAACUGUGGAACUGCGCCCGAUACUGCGUCGCUCGAGGGAGACAGAGGCAAGCGGAACUGAUGGUGGAGCGGUGAAAUGCGUUGAUAUCAUCAGGAACACCGGUGGCGAAAGCGGCUUGCUGGGUCUCUUCUGACGCUGAGGCACGAAAGCUAGGGUAGCGAACGGG
rnacentral:rRNA from 1 species